CCUACGGGCGGCAGCAGUGGGGAAUAUUGCACAAUGGGCGCAAGCCUGAUGCAGCCAUGCCGCGUGUGUGAAGAAGGCCUUCGGGUUGUAAAGCACUUUCAGCGGGGAGGAAGGCGUUAAGGUUAAUAACCUUGGCGAUUGACGUUACCCGCAGAAGAAGCACCGGCUAACUCCGUGCCAGCAGCCGCGGUAAUACGGAGGGUGCAAGCGUUAAUCGGAAUUACUGGGCGUAAAGCGCACGCAGGCGGUCUGUCAAGUCGGAUGUGAAAUCCCCGGGCUCAACCUGGGAACUGCAUUCGAAACUGGCAGGCUAGUGUCUUGUAGAGGGGGGGUAGAAUUCCAGGGGUAGCGGUGAAAUGCGGAGAGAUCUGGAGGAAUACCGGUGGCGAAGGCGGCCCCCUGGACAAAGACUGACGCUCAGGUGCGAAAGCGUGGGGAGCAAACAGGAUUAGAUACCCUAGUAGUC
rnacentral:rRNA from 1 species